UAGACGAUCUUUGUUUCGCAGUAGCGGUCGCUGGGCGCAUGCGCGGCCGCAACCUCCGCUCUCCCCCUGCGCUGAGCGCUGACAGCGGAGCUGACCGGAGACCGUUGCCGCCGCAGACGUUGUUGUCGUUGCCGCUUCCACUCCACGUUGUGAGCUGCUGUCCGGAUACACACCGACGCCGGGAACGGGACUUAAUUUCAGCAACGGGACACAAAAACAACAAGAGCAAAGUGUUUCUCGGAGACUGUGGACACGCUGACCGGCUGAGCUCUCUCCUCCUCCCGGUGGUGAACCGACACUCGGUGAAGUGACCAAGAGGCCAACAGCAGAGAGACGUCUGACUGCAUGAGGAGGCCGAGUGACGGGACCCUGGUCCUCACCUAGACCUCUCCCACGACCCUCCCACUGCCUGGACAUGAGGUCGUUCCGAUCGUUUGCAAACGACGACCGCCAUGUCAUGGCCAAGCACGCCAGCAUCUAUCCGGCCCCGGAGGAGCUGGAGGCCGUGCAGACGCUGGUGUCCACCGUGGAGGGAGCCCUCAAGAAAGUCUCUGAUUGGAUGGAUGGCCUCAACAAAUCCUCAGGGAAGACCUCGGCCUGUAGCGAGGCGGGGGACAAGGCGGUGGAGGAAGACGCUGCUGAGACAAAGCCUGAUGGUACGUCAGUGCUGUGCGGGGUGACGCGUGUCGGCCUGGUGGCCAAAGGCCUGCUGAUCAAAGGGGACAUGGACCUGGAACUGGUGCUGAUGUGCCGAGAGAAACCCACCAAACUGCUGCUGUACACCAUCAGCGCCAACCUGCCCCUGCAGAUCCAGACAAUGACGGAGGACAAAUACGAGGUGCGGUCGAGCGUGCCUGAGGCAGCUAUCCAGGUCUGCAGCACCAAAGACCCCCAACUCACCCUGAAGAUCACCCUCUCCUCCUUAGCCAUGAGGGAGGAGCACAGCACCACAGAAGAAGAGGAGGGCGAUCAGGACGUCCACAAGGAGAAGCAGCGGGACGACAAGGAGGAGGAGGAGGAGGACGUCCUGGACAGGCACAGGUGCCGGGCUGCCCUGGCUGCACUCCGACACGCCAAAUGGUUCCAGGCCAGAGUCACAGAUCUUAAGUCCUGCGUCAUCGUCCUGAGGAUCCUCAGAGACGUGUGCAACAGACUGCCUGUGUGGCAGCCUCUCAAAGGAUGGCCUCUGGAGCUGAUCUGUGAAAAGGCCAUCGCCACCUGUAACCGGCCGCUGGGUCCAGGUGAGGCCCUGCGUCGCGUCAUGGAGUGCAUCGCCUCAGGGAUUCUCCUGCCGGGAGGUCCGGGAGUUCACGACCCCUGUGAGAGGGAACCUACAGACGUCCUGUCUGACCUCAGCGCCCAGCAGGCCGACGCCAUCACACACAGCGCGCAGCAUGCGUUACGCCUCCUAGCCUUUGGACAGCUUUACAAGGUCUUGAAUAUGGAUCCUCUCCCCGCCAGCAAACCCUCACCAAGGCUGUUAGAAGGUUGUCAGAAGAGGCUUCGGGAGGACGUCGGGUCAGAUGACAGAGACUUCAUCAAAAGGAUGAAAGUCCUGGACUGGAGGAUGACGGAUCCAAACCACCCCAUGAACGCUCUGAUGCGUCUGAACCAGAUCCACCCGGGUCUUCAGUACCGCCUGCUGUCCCAGUCUGGCCCAGUCCACGCUCCGGUCUUUACCAUGUCCGUGGAGAUCCAGGGAACCACCUACCAGGCCACCGGGAACUCCAAGAGAACCGCCAAGCUCCAAGUGGCCCUCAAGGCGCUGCAGGCUCUGGGCUACGUGCUCGGCAGCGACGGAGACGUGGACUCGCUGAGCGCCGACGAGAAGUCAGAUGGCGAAGGCAAGAACGACAGGAUGUCCACCAGCUCCAGCUCCACCUCCAUCACCUCCUCCACAGACACACAGGAGUCCAGAGCUCCAGGUCCGAUCCUGACGGCGGGAGGUAAAAACCCGGUGAUGGAGCUGAAUGAGAAACGCCGUGGCCUCAAAUACGAGCUGAUAUCGGAGAGCGGCAGCAGCUACGACAAACGCUUCAUCAUAGAGGUGGAGGUGGACAAGCAGGUUUUUCGGGGAACGGGUCCCAAUAAGAAAGUAGCCAAAGCCAGCGCAGCGCUAGCCGCCCUGAACAGCCUGUUCUCCGGCUCCAAAUCUACGACCAACAAGAAGAAACGACCCAAUCCUCCACCAAAGAGACCCGUGGCCUCGGUGCUGACCCUCCCGGCCCUCGCUGCUAGACCUCCACGGGUCCCCGUCAUCCCCAGAGCUCCCUACAUCAGCACCCCACCCACACAUGGAUACAUCCCGCCAGGUUUUGGUGCUCCUUAUGGUUACAGCCCUGCAGGCGCUCUCCCUGCUUACGGUUUUCCCUCCAGAAUGCCCUCAGUAGUUGUCCCAGUCAUCAGAGUCCCUACAGCAUACCCUGUCACCCACCUCUACCCUUAUUAAGACUCUCCCUCACCUCACCUAUCUCACAGGAAAUCACUUGUUAAAGGAUCAUCCUUACUUUUGACCAGUUUACCCAGUGGCCUGUACAUCGACAGUGCCUAUUACCAGCCGCAGACCAUAGCCACACCUAUAAUCAUCCACCUGGGCCCUCAGGAUCUUUUCUGACCCCGCCGAUGUACCGAGACCACGCUCGGCAACAGACACGACCUCCUGUUUAAUCCCUCACCCUUAUUAAACUCUGUCAGCGCCUCUCAAUUACUGCGGCACUGCUCUCCCCACCCCAACCCUCUACCCCCCGGGUUUCUCCUUCCACAUGAGACAAAGCAUCAAUAUUGAAAGCAAUAUGGAAGAGAAAACACCUCGGGCAACACUCUGCGGUCGGGUUUAAGUGAGGAAGAGGCUGCAGCCGAGACUUUGUGUUACCCAGCGCACUCUGAAAACGUCAAUAAAACACAAAGCAAUACUUCUUCUGCCUUCGGGAAUCUCAACGUGUUCCAAAGCAACUUGACUCGAGUCUCAAACUGUUUUUCAGUCAAGUUGCUGAAAUCAAACAGACCAUCGGCACGGGCACAUUCACAACAAUGUGGCCUGCUGUGUGUAAAUACAGUAUUUACUACACUGUAUAUAUGGAUGUUUGUGAGUUUUGAAUAUAUAUAUAUAUAUAUAUAUAAACAUGUUAAUAUGUUUGAAUAUGUAAAACCUACCAACGGGUAAAGAAACAUAUUUCUAAUAUAUCUCUGAAUGUAAAUACAGUAGUGACUGAAGUAGCUUUGUAUUGAAAGCACUCUCAGAUAUGCUAUCUAUAAAUAUUACAAGUUAAAUACAUUUUACAAAUUGUCUAUAACACCGUAUUGGUAUGUUGAUGGUAUAUAAUCCCAAAUUACACAUUACUGCAUAGAGUAAACUAAAUAGUAAUCCAAUCCAAAACACCAAGACAAAUACCAUCAUUUGACAAAAAACUAUUUUGAACGAUUUUAAAUCUUAAAAAAGGAAGUUUGUCAUCGUCUGUUCUCUGCUGCUGGAUUUUUAGCUUCAAUCAGUGUAGGAAGGGGUCAAAGGUCAAAUCUUAUGGGUCACAAUCUGAUUAACAGAAGAAUAUUUCUGCUACACAAAAUAAUUUUUCAGACUUUCAUCCCUAAAAUUAUUCAAAUAUAACAAAGGAGGAAGGAUAACAAGUCGGGAUGUCUUAAGGUGGUCAGAAGGCGAAAAGGUUUAAAUGGUUGUAAAUGUUCCUGAGAGAUAUGUGUUAGCAGUUAAAAAAUAUAAUAAUAACUUUCCUCAUAUUUAUGGCUGAAAGCCUUUAUUAUGGUAUAUGUAAUUUUACAUUGCAAUAAUUCCUAUUUAUAUAGUGAGAUAUGGUAAACACUAUAUGUUUUGGGUUUUAAAAAACAGCCAGUCACUUGUUAGCAAUACUAAUGUGGACAUAAAAUAGUUUCCUUUUAUUUUUACGUUCUGGCCAACUAUAAAAAAAAUGUCUGCAGAGGCGAAACAUUUACUGUACGCAGAGCUGCACUUUUACAUUAUUUUGGUGAGAUUCAAGAACCUCAGCUCCAAUGGUGCUUUGAGAGCACAGGUAAAAUAGUAUUGUUAUUACUAAUGUGAGCUGUAUCAAACAAAAUAAUAAUUUUAUCUUGGUUAAAGUAACAAGCUGCUCUGAUUUAUUGCAGAUAAUGGACAGAAAACCUCAUGUUUCAGCCAUAUGAAGAAACUAUCCCUCUGUAUGAAAGUGCAUGGAGCAGGAGAUGCUAGUUUGGAGAGUGUGCAGGACUUCAGCUUUUUAUAGGUUUGUACAAUGUUUUCAUAGUUUUCAGAUUUUCCCAGUCGUUGCUAAGAGGCAUCUGAUGCUUACUGCAAAAGAAACAAGUCAAACUUUAAGAGAUAUUCUAGAGGAUUUCUUUAAAUUAGCCUGUUUGGGAAAACUGGGGAGCUUUCCUUCAAGAAAAUUUAUCAAAAUUAAUCUUAAAUGCCAUGAAGCAGGUCAAACAAAACUGUGAUAUAAAGCAAGCUAUAACACAAUUAGCAUUAGCAUAUCUCUAAAAAAUGAUUUGAUCUAAAGAAUGAUAAACUUUUAUGAGGCGGAACCAGAUUUAACGACCCGCUAAGGAUGUUUUCGAUGCUUUAUUCCUCGCUGCAGCAAUGACUGGAAAGCACAAGUGUCGAAAGCAAUAUUCAACUCAGGAACCAUGAAAACCACAGGAAUGCAAACUUAAUCUGAUCAUGUAAUGUGGACACAAAUAUACAAAUGAAGAAAACUAUGUCAACAAUGUGUCUGUACAGUAGAUAAUCCGAAGAAUGUGAAUGGAGAUUCAGUAUAUCCAGUGUAAUAUCCAUGUACUGUUUGAGUUUUGAUGAAUGUCUCUGGUUGAAUGUAAAACUGAAUUUGUCCACAGAGGUCAAACAGUGAGGAAGGAGUGCUGGGUUAAGACUGAAGUACUGUACAUGAUUUUUUUUUUUUUUACUUAAAGAAUUUAAGAUAUAUUUAGAGGUUCUAGAUUUGGCUUAUAAAUUCGACAUGUGAAUAACACUUUAUCAAGAACAUGACCUCUCGUGUCUUGUAAUUACAGUCCUGGCCUCUGACUCUAUGGAAGUUCAUUAAUGACAAAAGUGCAUGUAAUUUCUGCUGUAAUUUAUCUGCAAGUACAGCGCACCAAGUGGUAAAAAAAAUUCUUUCAUUAUAGUUAUGCAUACAAUAUUUCUGGAAAUUCAAACAUUUAUACAUAAAAUCAAAUAUUGGAAUUUCAGUUUAAGGCUAACAUUUCAACAGUCAGAUAUUUCUAUGUAUAUGUAGAUAUGUCCUGUAAAUCCACUAGUGCCAUACAACAUUCUUGUUUAGUGAUUUGCAAGACACAAACAAAAUCAGUUAUCACAGAGAUAGAUAUCUCACUGGAGACAAUAUAGCAAAAUGGUUGGCAAGUUGCAACCAACAGUUUUUUUUUGUUUGUUUGUUUGUUUGUUUUUUUUAUUAAUCAAAAAGUCAAUUAAUUGUCCAAAAGUAGCAAAAAUGUCACAUUAAAACUUUCCUGAGCUCAAAGUGACAUCUUUAAAUUUCUAUUUUUGUCUAGUGAUCAGUAAAAUACUUCAUCUGAAACCUUUGAAGAGUUGUAGUUUUUGUUUGUUGCCGAUCAGUUUUCGAUCAAUCAACUUAUCAAGUAGCCGAUCUAUUGUUUUAGCACUACAGAAAGCUUAACUACAGCUCUGUUCUGACUUUAAAACCUCUCUCUGCAUGAUCUUUAAUCUCGACUUCACAACUGAUUACUGCUCAGUUUUGUCAUUUUUGAACUUCCAUAUUGAUAGUCCUAUUCAGCUCCAGCAGCUUUUUGAUGUGAAGGCAACAAAACCAGGAUUCUUGUCUUUAUCGUCGGCAUGAAUCAAAUAACAGCCCAAAACAAGACCUUUAAGCCAGCUGCUCAUAUAAAAAGCUGUGAGAGGAAAUGUGUAGAGAGUCUGUUUGUAAGGAGGAUUAUUUAGUCUCACUGAUGUUCCCCCUGAUCUCACCUCGGUGCUACAUGACGUGUGCAGCAGUAUGAACAACACAGGGGGCUAAAAACAGACUUCACACAUUUACAUUUUACACCGGAGCAAAACCACUACCACUUUCUGUCCAGGUAACAUCCAGUUUAUUUUUCUUGCCAGGAGCAUCACACGACAGAGGAAAAUAAAAACACUCCAUCAGUCAAAGUGUUGAUGUUUUUACCUGUUGGUUUAUGACUGGAAUAUUUAUUUCUGUCUAUUAAAUAAACCAGCACUUCUCCUAAA